CCCUCUCUCUCCAGCAAUUCUCCAUUCCCCAGGAGCAAGAAACCCUAGGUUUCUUGCCGCCAGGUCCCAAAAAGGCAGGUGAAGCAUGGAGGCGCUAGACCUCCUCCCCCUUUGUGCCGCCUACUAGAUCUUCUCCUCCUCUCUUGCAGCCACCCAAGUAUUAGGUCCAGGAUCUGAAAUCUCUUUAGAAGAGGUUGGUAUAAGUCCCUCUCAGAUCUGGCGUUGAUCUAAGGUCGUUUGAGGCACGGGUGAGAUCUCCAUCAAUAGAUCUACAGGAAAGGCUGCAGCAGGACAGAUC
rnacentral:lncRNA from 1 species